rnacentral:rRNA from 1 species
CAAGUCGAACGAUGAAGUUCCUUCGGGAAUGGAUUAGUGGCGAACGGGUGAGGAACACGUGAGAAACCUGCCUUUCAUUCUGGGAUAACACCGGGAAACCGGCGCUAAUACCGGAUACUCCAUCUUGACAGCAUCGCCGAGCUGGGAAAAAUUUUGAUGAAAGAUGGUCUCGCGGCCUAUCAGCUAGUUGGUGAGGUAAAGGCUCACCAAGGCGACGACGGGUGGCCGGCCUGAGAGGGCGACCGGCCACACUGGGACUGAGACACGGCCCAGACUCC